UAUAUUACAGGCAGCUGCACAUGAAGGUCACGAUAAAUUUUGAACGAUACGAUCCUCAGCAGGACACAUGGUCUAAGAUUUGCUCUUUGAAUGUUGGCCAUGGUUAUAAAGCUUGCGUAUCGCUAGAUAAUAAACUAUGGGUUAUUGGUGUCGAUGGUGUAUCAGUCUAUGACGAGGAAAGUAACCGUUGGGAACAAAAGUGCGCAUCACCCGGAACUGAUGUUAUUUCCUGUUUUGUUGUGCCAGUAGCCUUACUGACGUCGAAUGAAUAACCAAUAUUAAUAAAUAUAUUUUUUGUAAUAAAUUCUUUUAUAAUAAAUACCAACAAAUCUGA